CACAGAGAAGCUAAAAACAAUCCAGCAUAAAGGCAAACACUCCAAAGCAAAACUUGGAGUGAGUCAGGAUGAGGCGGACAGCUCUCGAGAGGCCAAUCGAAGGAGGAAUUUGAAAAGGCCAUGGAAUGACAAUGAAGUGAAUGCGGUUAUGAAACAUUUCAAAACCCAUAUUUUUAAGGGGCAUCUUGCAACAAUGAAAGAAUGUGAGCAGUGCAAGGUUGCUGAAGACCCAGUUCUUCAAGACAAAACUUUACAAAACAUAAGAGAUUUUGUCAGGAACCGUGGUUUGAAGGCUAAAAAAAAUUGCUGAAAUGUUCAUUGGUCAAGAAUGUAGAUUCACUGAUCUACCAUCUUGUUUGAGCCAAAAUUGUUAAUAGUGACUGUGUUGAUGACCCACAAAAAAUGGCUGAAUCAACUUAAUCUUUCUGUUUUCUCUUAUUAAGCUUAUGUAAUACAUCGAGUGUUCAAGAGAUGACAUUCAUUUUUAGUAACGUACUUUCAUUUGUUCCAUCAAGAGAACAUUUUAUUUACUUUUAGGAACAUUGCACUUUAAUUUGUUAUAG